GGAUCCGAUCAUACCAGCACUAAAGCACCGGAUCCCAGUGGAACUCCGAAGUUAAGCGUGCUUGNNCGAGAGUAGUACUAGGAUGGGUGAUGGGCGAGAGUAGUACUAGGAUGAGUGAU
rnacentral:rRNA from 1 species